CUACGGAGGCACCAGUGGGGAAUAUUGGACAAUGGGGGAAACCCUGAUCCAGCAAUGCCGCGUGUGUGAAGAAGGCCUGCGGGUUGUAAAGCACUUUCGGUUGGGAGGACUGCUUCUAGCACUAAUAUUGUUGGAAGUUGACGUUACCUUCAGAAGAAGCACCGGCUAACUCCGUGCCAGCAGCCGCGGUAAUACGGAGGGUGUAAGCGUUAAUCGGAAUUACUGGGCGUAAAGCGCGCGUAGGCGGCUAGAUCAGUCGGGUGUGAAAGCCCCGGGCUUAACCUGGGAACUGCAUCCGAUACUGUCUAGCUCGAGUACAGGAGAGGAGAGUGGAAUUCCACAUGUAGCGGUGAAAUGCGUAGAUAUGUGGAGGAACACCAAUGGCGAAGGCAGCUCUCUGGCCUGAUACUGACGCUGAGGUGCGAAAGCGUGGGGAGCAAACAGGAUUAGAUACCCGAGUAGUC
rnacentral:rRNA from 1 species